UACGUAGGGGGCUAGCGUUGUCCGGAUUUAUUGGGCGUAAAGAGCGCGCAGGCGGUUUGAGAAGUCAGAUGUGAAAGAGGCCGGCUUAACCGGCAAGGGUCAUUUGAAACUGACAGACUAGAGUACAGCAGAGGAUAGCGGAAUUCCCGGUGUAGUGGUGAAAUGCGUAGAUAUCGGGAGGAACACCAGUGGCGAAGGCGGCUAUCUGGGCUGAAACUGACGCUGAGGCGCGAAGGCUAGGGUAGCAAACAGG
rnacentral:rRNA from 1 species